rnacentral:rRNA from 1 species
AAAUGCGUAGAUAUCGGGAGGAACACCAGUGGCGAAGCGGCCCUCCUGGGCUGCUCCUGACGCUGAAGGCGAAAGCUAGGGGAGCGAACGGGAUUAGAAACCCCGGUAGUCCUAGCCGUAAACGAUGGAUGCUGGGUCUGGGGGGUAUAGAUUCCCUCCGUGCCGAAGCUAACGCGUUAAGCAUCCCGCCUGGGGACUACGGCCGCAAGGCUAAAACUCAAACGAAUUGACGGGUCCCCGCACAAGCAGCGGAGCGUGUGGUUUAAUUCGAUGCUACACGAAGAACCUUACCUGGGUUUGACAUGCAAGUAGUAGUGAAGCGAAGGCGGAACGACCCUUCGGGGAGCUUGCACAGGUGCUGCAUGGCUGUCGUCAGCUCGUGCCGUGAGGUGUCGGGUUAAGUCCCGUAACGAGCGCAACCCUUGCCCUUAGUUAUACGUGUCUAAGGGGACUGCCCGGGACAACUGGGAGGAAGGUGGGGAUGACGUCAAGUCAGCAUGGCCUUUAUAUCCAGGGCGACACACACGCUACAAUGGCCGGUACAAUGGGUUGCCAAGCCGUGAGGCGGAGCCAAUCCCGCAAAGCUGGUCUAAGUUCGGAUUGUGGGCUGCAACUCGCCCACAUGAAGCUGGAGUUGCUAGUAACCGCGCGUCAGCCGUAGUGCGGUGAAUACGUUCCCGGGGAUUGUACACACCGCCCGUCACGUCAUGGAAGCUGGCAACACCUAAAGCCGGUACGCUAACCCGAAAGGGAGCCGCCGUCUAAGG